UGAACGCUGGCGGCGUGCCUAAUACAUGCAAGUCGAGCGAACAGACGAGGAGCUUGCUCCUCUGACGUUAGCGGCGGACGGGUGAGUAACACGUGGAUAACCUACCUAUAAGACUGGGAUAACUUCGGGAAACCGGAGCUAAUACCGGAUAAUAUAUUGAACCGCAUGGUUCAACAGUGAAAGACGGUUUUGCUGUCACUUAUAGAUGGAUCCGCGCCGCAUUAGCUAGUUGGUAAGGUAACGGCUUACCAAGGCAACGAUGCGUAGCCGACCUGAGAGGGUGAUCGGCCACACUGGAACUGAGACACGGUCCAGACUCCUACGGGAGGCAGCAGUAGGGAAUCUUCCGCAAUGGGCGAAAGCCUGACGGAGCAACGCCGCGUGAGUGAUGAAGGUCUUCGGAUCGUAAAACUCUGUUAUUAGGGAAGAACAAAUGUGUAAGUAACUAUGCACGUCUUGACGGUACCUAAUCAGAAAGCCACGGCUAACUACGUG
rnacentral:rRNA from 1 species